rnacentral:sRNA from 1 species
AUAGUCGUGGUUGACGAGAACCCGGGGCAGGGCAUCCGGAUUGAGCUCAACAA